rnacentral:rRNA from 1 species
GAUGAACGCUAGCUACAGGCUUAACACAUGCAAGUCGAGGGGCGGGCGGGGAGGGGUGGCUCGCAUUCUCCGCCGGCGACCGGCGCACGGGUGAGUAACGCGUAUCGAACCUGCCUCAUACCCGGGGACAGCCUUGCGAAAGUAAGAUUAAUACCCGGUGUUUUUCGCGGUGCCGCAUGACGCUGCGAACAAAGGAUUUCCGGUAUGAGAUGGCGAUGCGUCCCAUUAGCUUGUUGGCGGGGUAACGGCCCACCAAGGCACCGAUGGGUAGGGGUUCUGAGAGGAAGGUCCCCCACACUGGAACUGAGACACGGUCCAGACUCCUACGGGAGGCAGCAGUGAGGAAUAUUGGUCAAUGGGCGCAAGCCUGAACCAGCCAAAGUAGCGUGCAGGAUGACGGCCCUCCGGGUUGUAAACUGCUUUUAGUUGGGAAUAAAGUGCGGGACGCGUCCCGUUUUGUAUGUACCAUCAGAAAAAGGACCGGCUAAUUCCGUGCCAGCCGCCGCUGUAAG